rnacentral:ribozyme from 1 species
AAAAAAAAAAAAAAAAAAAAAAAAUCCCUUUUUUUUUUUUUUUUUUUGUGAUUACUAUUGUUUUAUGCUAUUUUUUUCCUUUCUUCUAUAUUGUCAGGUUUUCUGAUAAUAUUUCAAACAAAACUUCGAAAUCUUCCAAACGAGUACAAGGCACGAAAUCGAUGAAUA